rnacentral:rRNA from 1 species
UACAGAGGUCCCGAGCGUUGUUCGGAUUUAUUGGGCGUAAAGGGCGCGUAGGCGGUUUCUUAAGUUUGAAGUGACAGUGGGUGGCUUAACUACCCAAGGCCUUUGAAAACUGGGGAACUUGAGGACCAGAGAGGGACAUAGAAUUCCGGGUGGAGUGGUGAAAUGCGUAGAUAUCCGGAGGAAUACCAAAGGCGAAGGCAGUGUCCUGGAGGGUUAACUGACGCUGAGGCGCGAAAGCUAGGGGAGCGAACAGG